CCGUCUUAUCACAAGUCCCUCUUGUGGUUUACGUAAUUGCGUCCAAAAAGGGACCAUACCAUUCCAAUUCCAUUUCCACACCACAGGGCCUAGGCCAGCUUGCUAUCUCUUUUCAAUUCCUCCACAAUCCCCACCUUCUUAAAUAUAGUAUUCCUGCUUAGCUCUACACAAUUCGUGAUAAGUUCUCUGUUUCAACACUUUUAAUAUUAAAAGUUUCCUUUGCCAUUCUCCAUAUCCCAUGUAAUGUAUCCAGGUAAGAAUAAAAAUUAGCUGUUUAAUUAAGUAAAAUGACAUUCUCCCUCCCAUAGAACAGGACAUAUUGGAAGAUAUCAUGUCAAUGCUCUCUUAUAUCUUUCCAUUUUACGCAUCUAAUGACGGUGAGCUCCAUCCAUUGCUUUUGCACACCACCACACAUAUAUGACUUGACAUCACUCUUUCUCUUCUUUGAGGAUGUGGCCCCAUAUUAUAUUUGGGUAUCCAUUUCCAAUAUUAUUUAUCAUCUUCAAUUUCUUUCCAUGGUACUAAUGAUCCUGCUUUGUUCCAAGGUUCAAGGAUCUAUCAGAUGGCUAAGAUUCUCCUGAUCAAAUAUCAGUUACAUCUUACACUACACUGUCCGUACACUUUUGCAUGUGCUGUGUAAGUGGCGAAAGGGACAAUGCUCAAUGAGAUGUAUAUAAUAUUAAUUUUAGUUGAAGUUGAAAGAGAAAGUAAUAAUAAUCACUUUCACCUUCCAUGUCAAUAGUAUUUUCUUGAUGAGUUAUUAUGAUUUUGGUAGAAUUUGUUAAUCACUAAUUGUCAUUGCUUAACCAUAAUUCAAGUGUUCAGAUAAAAUUUUAUCCUUUUUCAAUAGUUAUCUGUUUGGCUUCUUGCACACCUGCAUGGAUAAUGGACUCUAACUUCGUGGCAUUGGCAGCCUGUCCACUCUCCCUACAUAUUUAUAUUUACUUAUUAUCCUUUCUUUAUUGCCUGUAGGGUCACCUCCACAUUACUCCUUACCCAACAAAGAAACUUCCCCACGGCCACCUCGUCUCAGAAAACGCCUCUCUCUCUCUCUCUCCCUCAACGAUGGACAGCCCCAAAAGAAUAGCCAGCCAAGGACCCCGACUACUUCCCUCUUCACGCAGAAGCGGAAAAAGAAGCAGCUAUUCCAACUCCCCCGAAUUCGAGUUCUGGAUGGUCCGAAAUCCGUCCUUUCCAGAGCCUGAUCUACUUUCCGCCGAUGAACUCUUUGUUGAUGGGGUCCUCCUUCCUCUCCACUUAAUCCACCUCCACAGCCACCACCCAGAGACAACAGAUUCGCAACCAGACCCUAAACCGCCCAACGCACAGCCGGAGGCAGAACCCCAAAUAUCACAUAACAACAUAGCAGCAGAGACCAAUCCUUUAACCGCUUCAAAGAGAUGGAAAGAUAUCUUCAAAAAAACUUCAACAGCAAAGAGCCAAGAAGAUAAGAAUAAAGAUAAAGAGAAGGAGAAGGAGAGAGAAAAGAAGAGAGAGAAAAAGAGUCAAGGUGGAGCAAGUUCUUCAGCCGAGUUGAAUAUCAAUAUAUGGCCAUUUUCACGCAGUAGAUCCGCAGGGAACAGUGGAGCCCGACCCAGAAUAUUUCCUGGAACCCGAAAGGUGAGCAGCGCACCUUGCUCGCGGAGUAAUUCAGCGGGGGAGUCAAAGUCAAGAAAGUGGCUGAGUAGUCCGGGUAGGGGUACUGGAGUCCAUCUGGGGAGGAGCAGCCCGGUUUGGCAGGUGCGGCGUGGAGGUGGAGUUACAGAAGCAAAGAGUGGUUACUCAGAGGCAGUGAAUCGGAGCGGUAAAAAGAUGACGAGUAAAACAAGAAAGGAAGAUGGCAAAGUUGUAAAUUUGAAUGUGCCAAUGUGUAAUGGAUGUACGGAGCCAUUAAAUUGUAGGAGCAGCAGCUCUAAAUCUAAUGUUGCAGGUGGUGGGACUGGUAAUCUUUUCAGUAUACGCAGCCUCUUCACAAAAAAGGUGUACUGAGUAAUGUAUACUACUCAUAAUUAACCCCCUAGCUAAUUAUAUACUACUCCAUAUGUUUUUGUUUCCACCAUAUAUGUUAAGUUUGAUUCUGAUGUACGUGUUUUCCUUAAGUUGUGUAAUUAAUUUACUAAUUAAUAGAGAAAAAAGGUGA
rnacentral:misc_RNA from 1 species